CUUAAUAUAUAACGGCCCUAGCUGCCUGCAGCUACUACCAUCGUAUUUUGUUUUCAUUUAUAUAUACAGUACUGCAUUGCAUUUCCUAUAUAUCUAGCUAGGAAAAUUUAUAACGAGCACUAGCUGGGAUCAAUGCCUCAAGCGUUGCUGCACGGGACACUUCUGACAACCAUUUACGAAGUUGAUAGGAUAAACAAUGGCCUUGGCUUCAACGUCCUCCAAAAGUCUGGGAAAAGGUUUCUGUCCCAACUCAAGGGACUAGUGCUAGGCAGGCCUCCGAUUGUUGGAUCCAAGCUCUAUGCAACAGUUGAUUUAGAUAAGGCCAGGGUUGGGCGGACCAGAAUGGUAGAAAAUCAAGCCUCUCACCCCCAGUGGUUUGAGUCCUUCAGCAUAUAUUGUGCCCAUUAUAUCUCAUAUAUCAUAUUCACUGUCAAAAAAGAUAACCCUAUUGGGGCAACAUUAAUUGGAAGGGCUUAUGUGCCCGUUGGGGAUAUCAUGAGGGGAUUUAUGGUUGAUAGAUGGAUUGACAUACUAGAUGAAAACUACAACUCUAUACAUUCUAGAAUCCACGUCAAGCUUCAAUUUUUUAAUGUUGCCCAAGAUUGGUCUCAGCAAAUGAUAACUCCCGACUUUGAGGGAGUUCCUCGCACAUUCUUCAAGCAAAGACAAGGUUGCAAAGUUACUUUAUACCAAGAUGCCCAUGUCCAAGAUGUUAUGCCUAAGCUUUUGCCAUCCAUAGGAGGUAGUUAUAAGCCCCAAGGAUGCUGGGAGGACAUCUUUGACGCAAUCAGUACUGCAAGACACCUAAUUUACAUAUCUGGAUGGUCUGUGUAUACUGGGAUAACCUUGAUAAGGGAUCCUAAGAGGCCAAGGCAAGACGGCAACCUCACAUUAGGGGAUCUUCUUAAGAAAAAGGCUGAUGAAGGUGUCAUGGUUCUUAUGCUUGUCUGGGAUGACAGAACUUCUGUCGAGGAAUUGAAGAAGGAUGGUUUGAUGGCGACUCACGACCAAGAAACUAAAGAAUACUUUCGAAACACGAAGGUGCACUACUUUUUGUGCCCACGUAAUCCUGACAAUCGAAGAAGUAUAGUUCAAGGUUUUGAGAUCUCUACCAUGUUUACUCACCAUCAGAAGACAAUAGUUGUUGAUAGGGAAGUGCCUGAUGGAGGAUCACAAAAGCGGAGGAUUGUGAGUUUUAUCGGUGGUAUUGAUCUCUGUGAUGGGAGAUAUGAUACAAUAGAACAUCCUUUAUUCAGUACUUUGAAGACAAUUCACCAUGAUGACUUCCAUCAGCCAAAUUUUGCAACUUCUUCAAUCAAGAAAGGUGGUCCAAGGGAGCCUUGGCAUGACAUUCAUUGCCAACUAGAGGGGCCUGUUGCUUGGGAUGUCUUGUACAAUUUUGAGCAAAGAUGGAAAAAGCAGGUUGGGGAUAAGUUCCUAAUUAAACUACAUCAACUUGAUGAAAUCGUAAUCCAACCAACACCUGCUACCUCAUUAGAUGAUACUGAAACAUGGAAUGUUCAAAUCUUUCGAUCCAUUGAUGGUGGGGCCGUUUUCGGUUUUCCUGAAAAACCUGAUAUUGCAUAUACAGUAGGGCUUGUUAGUGGGAAAGAUCACAUCAUCGAUCGAAGCAUUCAAGAUGCAUAUAUCAAUGCUAUUCGGCGAGCCAGAGACUUCAUCUACAUUGAGAACCAGUAUUUUCUAGGAAGCUCGUUCGGCUGGAGCCCAAACGACAUCAAGGUGGAGGACAUUGGUGCUUUGCACCUCAUUCCAAAGGAGCUCUCACUAAAGAUUGUUAGUAAGAUCGAAGCAGGGGAGAGGUUUGCUGUUUAUAUUGUGAUCCCAAUGUGGCCAGAAGGUAUACCUGAGAGUGCUUAUGUUCAAGCAAUAUUGGAUUGGCAGAGAAGGACUAUGGAAAUGAUGUAUUCUGACAUCACUAAAGCCUUGCAAAAAAAGGGACUUGAUGAAGACCCUCGGGACUAUCUGAAUUUCUAUUGCCUUGGGAAUCGAGAGACAAUGAAAGAGGAAGAGUAUAUACCUCCAGAGAGACCAGAACCUAACACAGAUUAUAGUAGAGCUCAAGAGGCUCGUCGCUUCAUGAUAUAUGUCCAUGCAAAAAUGAUGAUAGUUGAUGAUGAAUACAUAAUCAUUGGAUCUGCCAACAUCAACCAGAGGUCAAUGGAUGGAGCAAGAGACUCUGAGAUUGCAAUGGGGGCAUUCCAACCACAUCAUUUAGCCUCCACAAACCCAGGUAGGGGGCAAAUCCACGAAUUCAGGAAUGCCUUGUGGCUUGAGCACCUUGGAGGAUUUCAGGAGUCCUUUCGACAUCCCGAAAGCAAGUUAUGCAUCUCUCUAGUGAACAGUCUUGCUCAGCAAUAUUGGGAUUUAUAUGUGGGAGAGACAUUCCAUGAUAUAGAAGGUCACUUGCUACCAUACCCCAUCCAACUUACUAUUGAUAUGGGAAAUACUAAAGUACUGCCCUUACCUGGCUUCGAACUCUUCCCUGACACCAAGGCUCGUGUUAUGGGUGCAAAAUCUGAUUACCUUCCUCCAAUCCUCACCACUUAAUUAGUGGCAUGCCCAUCAAAGUACGUACUGAUAUACGUACACGUACGCCUAUAAUAUUAUAUUCGUACAGUAUUCAUAUAUUAAUGGAAGGACAGUUGCUACACGGGACACUUUCGGCUACCGUAUUCGAACUUCAAAGGACGCCCCAACAGCCACAGCAAGGAUGCUUUGCAAAGUUUUUACUUGGCCUUGGAGUGGUCGUAUGGGAGGAGACGAGGCAUUGCAGUUUAUAAACAUAAUGUCUUUUCACAGGCCAAACUUAACCAAACCCAACCACAUAUAUGCAGCCUCACUUCCAACUAAACAAAUUCUGAUAUUUGCUCCUCAUACAACUUCACUUCCAACUAAACAAAUUCUAAACAAAUUCUGGUCUUUACUAAGGAUCAAGCAAAUUGUCAUAGGUGAAUAAGGAUCAAGCAGAUUCUGUUCUUCUCUUCUCUUCCAUUUUCCCCUUUUACUGUUUUUUUAUGUUUACUGCUGGUUUUUACUUGUGAUGAUUUGUUUUCAGCUGAUUUCCCAGUUCUGUGAGGUGUUCUUGGGUGAGGAUCAACUGCACAUUCCUAGCUCUUAUCUUAGUAAGUGUAUGGUAUUAUUUAUUUCUUUCUAUAUAUUUGGGAUACAUCUUUUUGUAAUUUUAAAAAUAUUUACUGCUUAUGAAAAGACUAAUUUAGUAGAAGUAUUUCAGUCAAAAAAAUUUUAAAAAGGGAAUAGAUUUCACUUGUUGGUUGUUCAAUCCACCGCAUUGCUAAUUUGCUAUCUUGGGGUAAACAAGUAGGAAUAAGUGAAAAGGAUGAACACAUAGCAAAAGCAGUGGGAUUGAACAACUUUGGCCAGGUUUUAGUUGCUGCCGAGUCUUUCUAAAGGAUGCCUUGACAUGGCUUGGCUAAUCUGAAGAGAUACAUCUAAUUAUUUGUUCAUGCAUACUGUCAUCUUAUUAAACAUUUUAUCACUUCCAGACUUCCAGCAUAAUUUGCCAUUUUUAAUUUUUUUUUAUUUUUUUUAUCGUUAUUGACUUCAUUUCCUCUUGUUUCCUUUUAUUCAUCCAUUUUUUGUUUUUAAUAUUGGCAGGGAGAUUGUGAGCUGCCAGUACUGCAAAGGUGAGUUUGCGACUUCUCAUAAGGCCUUUUCUUUUUGUACUUAAUUCAUUUCUCAUGCAGUUUAUAAACAAUUUAUUUAAAUAUUAGUUUUUUUUUUUUCCAUUUUAUUUUUUGGUAGUUGCUGCUUAUAUAUUUUUGAAUUUGUAGUUGUCUCUCCUCAUCAUCAUGAAUUCCUAUGCACUUCACUUAGCAACCUAGAUUGUUUGCUGAACUUUAUUAUAUUUGUACAACUACCAAAUUGUUGCCAAGUUUUGAAAAAAAUUACAAAGUGCAGUUUUUAAAUGUUAGGAUAUUACACAAAUUGGUGCUGCUUUUGCUGUAUUUGUAUGUUCAUGGAUAUUCUUCUAUUAAUGGCUAUAUAUACAGAUUUCCCCAAUUAACAGGACACGCCUAAUUACAAAACCCUAAUAACACAAACACAAUCACAAAAAUCUUAAAUUAAAAAUCCUAAUAAAA